AAAUGCGUUUCUCCAAUAAACCAGCGACAUGCUUGUGCAUACCAUGUAUGAUAGGUUAAAAUAAAAAAUGGCUGCAAAAAGUGACUAUUCCUUAUCCUCGCUUUACGCCUAAGCGAACCAGUUUUAAUUGCUUGCUAAGAAAUAAAACAAAAAAUUAUGAUUAUUCUAAUAGAGUUCCAAAUUGAAUUUUUAUUAUUCGCUCUUUGAUAGAAAAAAAUCUGCAGGAGAAUCAUUAAACAACUCGUGUUUCCAAAUACUUUACUAGAAA